rnacentral:rRNA from 1 species
CUACUCUUGACAUCCAGAGAAUUCUCUAGAGAUAGAUUAGUGCCUUUUGGAACUCAGAGACACAGGUGGCACAUCGUUGUUCUCAUCUUGUUUUGAAAGAUUGGGGUAAAUGUCGCACCGAGAGCACACCCUUUCCUUUUAGUCCACCACGUUAAGUUGGGCACUCCAGGGAGACUGCCGGUGACAAACCGGAGGAAGGUGGGGACGACGUCAAGUCAUCAUGCCCCUUACGAGUAGGGCUACACACGUGCUACAAUGGCGUAUACAAAGGGCUGCAAACUAGCGAUGGUGAGCGAAUCUCACAAAGUCCGUCGUAGUCCGGAUUGGAGUCUGCAACUCGACUCCAUGAAGUCGGAAUCGCUAGUAAUCGUGAAUCAGAAUGUCACGGUGAAUACGUUCCC